rnacentral:rRNA from 1 species
UACGUAGGGGGCAAGCGUUGUCCGGAUUUACUGGGCGUAAAGAGCGUGUAGGCGGCCACGCAGGUCCGUUGUGAAAACUGGAGGCUCAACCUCCAGCUGUCGACGGAAACCGUGUGGCUAGAGUCCGGAAGAGGAGAGUGGAAUUCCUGGUGUAGCGGUGAAAUGCGCAGAUAUCGGGAAGAACACCCGUGGCGAAGGCGGCUCUCUGGGACGGUACUGACGCUGAGACGCGAAAGCGUGGGGAGCGAACAGG